CUACGUGCCAGCAGCCGCGGUAAUACGUAGGUGGCAAGCGUUGUCCGGAAUUAUUGGGCGUAAAGCGCGCGCAGGCGGAUUGGUCAGUCUGUCUUAAAAGUUCGGGGCUUAACCCCGUGAUGGGAUGGAAACUGCCAAUCUAGAGUAUCGGAGAGGAAAGUGGAAUUCCUAGUGUAGCGGUGAAAUGCGUAGAUAUUAGGAAGAACACCAGUGGCGAAGGCGACUUUCUGGACGAAAACUGACGCUGAGGCGCGAAAGCCAGGGGAGCGAACGGGAUUAGAUACCCCGGUAGUCCUGGCCGUAAACGAUGGGUACUAGGUGUAGGAGGUAUCGACCCCUUCUGUGCCGGAGUUAACGCAAUAAGUACCCCGCCUGGGGAGUACGACCGCAAGGUUGAAACUCAAAGGAAUUGACGGGGGCCCGCACAAGCGGUGGAGUAUGUGGUUUAAUUCGACGCAACGCGAAGAACCUUACCAGGUCUUGACAUUGAUGGAUAGAACUAGAGAUAG
rnacentral:rRNA from 1 species